GACAAACGCUGGCGGCGUGCUUAACACAUGCAAGUCGAACGAUGAAGCUAGAGCUUGCUCUGGUGAAUUAGUGGCGAACGGGUGAGUAACACGUGAGUAACCUGCCCCGAACUCUGGGAUAACUGCUGGAAACGGUAGCUAAUACUGGAUACGACCUACGAAGGCAUCUUCUGUAGGUGGAAAGAAUUUCGGUUCGGGAUGGACUCGCGGCCUAUCAGCUUGUUGGUGAGGUAAUGGCUCACCAAGGCGACGACGGGUAGCCGGCCUGAGAGGGUAACCGGCCACACUGGGACUGAGACACGGCCCAGACUCCUACGGGAGGCAGCAGUGGGGAAUAUUGCACAAUGGGCGCAAGCCUGAUGCAGCAACGCCGCGUGAGGGAUGACGGCCUUCGGGUUGUAAACCUCUUUUAGUAGGGAAGAAGCGAAAGUGACGGUACCUGCAGAAAAAGCACCGGCUAACUACGUGCCAGCAGCCGCCGUAA
rnacentral:rRNA from 1 species